rnacentral:misc_RNA from 1 species
GAAAUGCGAUAAGUAAUGUGAAUUGCAGAAUUCAGUGAAUCAUCGAAUCUUUGAACGCACAUUGCGCCCGCCAGUAUUCUGGCGGGCAUGCCUGUUCGAGCGUCAUUACAACCCUCAGGCCCCCGGGCCUGGCGUUGGGGAUCGGCGGAAGCCCCCUGCGGGCACAACGCCGUCCCCCAAAUACAGUGGCGGUCCCGCCGCAGCUUCCAUUGCGUAGUAGCUAACACCUCGCAACUGGAGAGCGGCGCGGCCACGCCGUAAAACACCCAACUUCUGAAUGUUGACCUCGAAUCAGGUAGGAAUACUCGCUGAACUUAAGC